rnacentral:rRNA from 1 species
AUUGAACGCUGGCGGCAGGCCUAACACAUGCAAGUCGAGCGCGCGGCGGACGGGUGAGUAAUGUAUGGGGACUGCCCGAUAGAGGGGGAUAACUACUGGAAACGGUGGCUAAUACCGCAUCCUAUCGGAUAACCCAUAUGGGAUUAGCUAGUAGUUGGGGUAAAGGCUCACCUCGGCGACGAUCUCUAGCUGGUCUGAGAGGAUGAUCAGCCACACUGGGACUGAGAAACGGCCAAGACUCCUACGGAGGCAGCAGGGGGGAAUAUUGCACAAUGGGGGAAAGCCUGAUGCAGCCAUGCCGCGUGUAUGAAGAAGGCCGUAGGGUGGUAAAGUACUUGCAGCGGGGAGGCGUUACCCGCAGAAGAAGCACCGGCUAACUCCGUGCCAGCAGCCGCGGUAAUUC